UACGUAGGGUGCGAGCGUUAAUCGGAAUUACUGGGCGUAAAGCGUGCGUAGGCGGUUCGCUGUGUCCGAUGUGAAAGCCCCGGGCUUAACCCUGGACCUGCAGUGGGUACGGGCAGACUAGAGUGCGGUAGGGGAGAUCGGAAUUCCUGGUGUAGCGGUGAAAUGCGCAGAUAUCAGGAGGAACACCGGUGGCGAAGGCGGAUCUCUGGGCCGUAACUGACGCUGAGGAGCGAAAGCAUGGGGGAGCGAACAGGA
rnacentral:rRNA from 1 species